rnacentral:rRNA from 1 species
AGAGUUUGAUCAUGGCUCAGAACGAACGCUGGCGGCGUGCUUAACACAUGCAAGUCGAGUGCGCGGUUGUAGCAAUACAACUGGCGCACGGCGCACGGGUGCGUAACACGUGGGCAAUCUGCCCUCCGAUGGGGAAUAACCCGCCGAAAGGCGGGCUAAUACCGCAUAACAUUCCUUGGACUUCGGUUCGAGGAUUCAAAACCGCAAGGUGUCGGAGGAGGAGCCCGCGCCCGAUUAGCUAGUUGGUGGGGUAACGGCCCACCAAGGCAAUGAUCGGUAGCUGGUCUGAGAGGAUGGCCAGCCACACUGGAACUGAGACACGGUCCAGACUCCUACGGGAGGCAGCAGUGGGGAAUCUUGCACAAUGGGCGAAAGCCUGAUGCAGCGACGCCGCGUGGGGGAUGAAGCAUCUCGGUGUGUAAACCCCUUUCGACCCGGAAGAAUGCCUCGCAAGAGGACGGACGGUACGGGUAUAAGAAGCCCCGGCUAACUACGUGCCAGCAGCCGCGGUAAGACGUAGGGGGCCAGCGUUGUUCGGAAUUACUGGGUGUAAAGGGUUCGUAGGCGGUGCGGCAAGUUGGGAGUGAAAUCUCUGGGCUCAACCCAGAGGCUGCUUCCAAAACUGCUGUGCUUGAGUGUGGGAGAGGCGCGUGGAAUUGCAGGUGUAGCGGUGAAAUGCGUAGAUAUCUGCAGGAACACCCGUGGCGAAAGCGGCGCGCUGGACCACUACUGACGCUGAGGAACGAAAGCUAGGGGAGCAAACAGGAUUAGAUACCCUGGUAGUCCUAGCCCUAAACGAUCAGGACUUGGGGUGCCACCCGUUCGGGUGUCGUCCCGGAGCUAACGCGUUAAGUCCUGCACCUGGGGAGUACGGUCGCAAGACUGAAACUCAAGGAAUUGACGGGGGCCCGCACAGCGGUGGAACAUGUGGUUCAAUUCGACGUUACGCGAGGAACCUUACCUGGGCUCGAAAUGCUGGUGACCAGCUGUAG